UUAUCACCUAUGAUCCGGGGCUAUUGCGUCCAGGCCACCGAUUUUUUCUUUUUUCUCCUUUUUGCUAAAGACAAAGGUCGAUGUAUUCGUGAAGUUGAAGAAAAGCAUACAAAAUGAAAUCCUGAAACACUUGCCGUGUGUGGGGGAUUCAUCCCUCUUUCAACUCACUCUCCAUUUUCUUUUGGCUGCGCAUUCAAGAUGUCGUUUGCUCUCUGUGUCAUUGCCCUCAGAUGAUAUCGGUGUCCGGAUGGAUCGCAUAUAUGCUCUCUUUGCGAUGUAGCAAGCUAUGCUCAUAACAUCUACCUAGAAAUAUUUUUGCAUCUUCUUUUCAUUCAACACAACUCUUACCAUCUCCUCCAAGCCAUCUUUCAUUAUUCAUUGAGAUUAAGAAUUUUGUAUCCAAGGAAUCAUCAUUACAAAGGUUAGUUGAAUACACAUUCUAAAUUCUUCCUUUCUAGAAUGGUUUUUCCUGUUUGCUCAUCUCUCACAAUGCAAUACAUAGCACUAAAUAUAACCUUAUAAUCUUUGUCACAUAAUUGACUUAUACUUGAAAGGUUAUGGCCCAAACUAUUAACUAAAUAAAUGUUAUCAAUGCAUGGAGAGGUGGUAGAAUUCUUACCAACCUUACCUAUACCAAGACUUUUGCCUUUUUUAUUAUUUCCAAAGGUGAGAGUCCUACCAUCUUUAGCUUCUAUCAUGUAUAGAAACAUGAAGCUAUCACUAGUCAUGUGCUUAAGUAGCCACUGUCUAUAUACCACUUUUUGUUUGUAACUCUUCUCAUUACCUACACAAAUGUCAGGUUUUCUUAUGUACCCAAAUCUAUUUGGGUCUUGAUGAGUUAAUAGACCCUUUUACAACCCACUACAUAUUUUCAUCAAUCCUUGCUUCCUUUGGAUAUAUGACUUAGUCAUGUUUCCUUUCUUGUUAUAAUAAGAACAAGUGGACUUGGGUGAGUUAGUCAUAGUUGUAGGAACAAGGAAGUUCUUAUAAUACUCUAUUUUUGCUUAGGUUUAUAGUAUAAUAUAGCUUUAUCAAAAACACAUCUUCAUUUAUCAAAAUCUUAUUUAAAUUUUCUCUACAUUUAAUGAAUUUUGCAAGAUUAUUUUCUAAAUCUUCCUUUUCAAAUAUAUAAAGUAAGCAAUCAACAUACUGAGUUUCAUUUUCCAAAAUAUUUACUUUCUUUUUCAAAACCUUAUUUUCAAUUUUCAGUGACACAUUUUCCUUUUCUGAAACAACAAGCUUCUUUUUUGUUUGAGUAUGAUUUUUCAUAAGCAGAAAUGAUUCAUUGUGCAAUUCUUCAA